GAUGAAGAAUGCAGCGAAAUGCGAUAAGUAAUGUGAAUUGCAGAAUUCAGUGAAUCAUCGAAUCUUUGAACGCACAUUGCGCCCGCCAGUAUUCUGGCGGGCAUGCCUGUUCGAGCGUCAUUUCAACCCUCAAGCCCCCGGGCUUGGUGUUGGGGAUCGGCGUGCCCUCGCGGCGCGCCGUCCCCUAAAUCUAGUGGCGGUCUCGCUGUAGCUUCCUCUGCGUAGUAGCAACACUCGCACUGGAUCGCAGCGCGGCCACGCCGUUAAACCCCCCACUUCUGAAAGUUUGACCUCGGAUCAGGUAGGAAUACCCGCUGAACUUAAGCAUAUCAAUAAGCGGAGGA
rnacentral:misc_RNA from 1 species